CGGACACCUUCUCUCUCAACUCCACCGACUAUCUCUCUCUUCCUCUCUGAUUUCCAUCUGCUCUAAUCCCUCAAACCCUAUGAGCGGAGUCAAUUCAGAUGGAAACUUAGUCAUAAGGUUCACUACCACCAUACCUCUUCCUUAGAUUCGGUGCCAUAGAAAGCGGGGACGGUUGCGUCAAGGAGAGAGGAACAUCAAUUGGCUGACUCAAAUCCCUUAGCUUCAACGCCGCAUCGAAAGCGAGAAGAAGAACUAGGGAUUUUCCAACUCAGUCGUUGUCUAUGCCGCCGCCUCCACCGCCGGAGUUACACGUCGCCGCCUCACGCAACCCAGGCAAAUGCGUUUGUGGAAGGUGUGACGCAAAAAUCCGGCAUCAGAUCGAUGAACUGGAGAUUUGACAGCUGAUGGAGUUCCUAUUGUGUUUUGAGCGACUGUGGAACUUAGACGGGAUGCACGAGUGGCACUUUCUGUAUACAGUGCUUUUGAUGACAUGGAGUAUAUUAAAGCCCAGAAAAUCAGUUUGAAGGAACUGUAAAUGAAGGAAAUCGAGGGAAGAGCAUAUGGGAUACCUUCUCCAAACUCCCAGGCAUUAUUAUUUUUAAUUAUUAGUACGAACACUAAUUAAUUUGUUAAUUUUAAUGUUAUUAGGAUAUUAUGUAUAUAAUUGCUUCAUUAAUUUGUUGAUUAUGAAUAAAUUGAAGCAUUAUGUAGUAUUUUUUUUUGGUAGAAUAUCAAUUUACAUUAUUUUUUUGCAUCCUGAAAGUUGUUAGGCUUAAAUUUCUUAACGCUCCCAAUAUACGCGUGCAUCCUUGAAGUUAUUGGUCUUAUGUGUGUUUGGUAAGUUGGGGACUUGGUGGAGCGAGUUUAUUUGGAACAUGGAUGCACUAAAUGAUGUUGUUCUUUGUGGUGUAAUAGUCAAACUUCAUAGAUAGUGACCAGCAGGGCCAUUUUAAAAGUUUGGAGGGUCCUGUUCUAGAAUUAAAAUUGGACCCUUCUCUAAGUAUCAAUUAGCAAUUCAAAUUUUCUUCUUAUUCAUAUAUUUUCAUACCCACAUUUACAUUUUUUCUAGGAGGCAUAAUUUAUAAAUCACAAAAAAUUUCAACAAUUUAACAAUAUCGAUGUGUUAAAUGAAUUGAAAAAACUGGGGAAAAAUUUUAUAUGGUGUAAAAUAUGAUAUUAAGAAAUAUGAUAUUAAGAAAAUGAUGUAUUUUUCCAUUGAUAAUUGGGAGAUUAAUGGGAAAUUGGCUGAUUUAUUUUAGUAAUUUGAAGUAUAAAUAUUGGAGAAGAUGGAAGAUUGAUGAUGAUGAUGGCGUGAGAAACAAUGAGGAAGCUGACUUUCCUCAAUAAGAAGAGAAAAAAAAAACACAACUUUCCAAUGUAAGGUGAAAUAGAUGCAAUAUUUUAUUUUUUUGGGCCCUUUUUUUUAACCGGGACCUUCUAAAAUUUUUGGGCCCUGUGCCGUUGGGCUUCUUGCACUCCCUUAUCAACGGGCCUGGUGACCAGAACAGAUUUGCUGAUUUUUGAGGGUUGCAACAGUUAGGCCAUGUCCUAUGUACCAUUGUAUGAUUUUGAUUAAAUUGAAGCAUUAUGUAGUAUUUUUUUUGUUAGAAUAUCAAUUUACAGUUGAACAGGAAUUUAAGUGCAAUUAAUUAUAUUGUUUAAUUUUGUUAUUACUGUUAUUUAUGAUUUACGUUGAGCCUACAUCAGAAACAGAUUUGAGUUGAGCUUGAUUUAGUGAAAGUAUUUUGAUUUUUUGAUAGCAAGAGAGGGUGUGAAACAUCCUAGACUAGAACUUUAUAGAGAUGAGAAUAUAGUUAAUUUUAAUCAGAAUCAGGGUGGGGGUUUGACGGUGCAGGGUGGAGUCUGGAUCAGAAAGACCACGUUAGUAUUAUUGACUGUAUUUUGCUUUGUGAUUUGAUGAUUUGUGAUUGAUAAUUAGAUGACGAUUAUGAUGAUGAUGAGAGAAUUGUUAACGAUGGUAUCGAUUUUGCA